rnacentral:rRNA from 1 species
AUGCAAGUCGAGCGGACAGAUGGGAGCUUGCUCCCUGAUGUUAGCGGCGGACGGGUGAGUAACACGUGGGUAACCUGCCUGUAAGACUGGGAUAACUCCGGGAAACCGGGGCUAAUACCGGAUGGUUGUUUGAACCGCAUGGUUCAAACAUAAAAGGUGGCUUCGGCUACCACUUACAGAUGGACCCGCGGCGCAUUACCUAGUUUGUGAGGUAACGGCUCACCAAGGCUACGAUGCGUAGCCGACCUGAGAGGGUGAUGGGCCACACUGGGACUGAUACACGCCCCAUACUCCUAGGGGAGGCAGCGGUAGGGAAUCUUCCGCACUGAACGAAAGUUGGACGAACCAACCCCGGGUGGGGGAUGAUGGUUUUCGGAUCCCAAAGUUCUGUGGUUAGGGAAGACCAGUUCCCUUUCAAAUAGGUCGGUCCCUUCCCGAAACGUACCUCAAAUCCCUCGGAUAGUUAGAGGCUGUCACGACCGGUAAAAGUUCGUCGCCAGGCUUGUCUGAAAUAAUGGGCCCAAAGGGCUCGCAGGCGGUUUCUUAAUUCUGAUGUGUUACCCCUUGCUCACCAGUCCAGGGUCAUUGGUGACUGUGAACUUGAGUGCAGAAUAGAGAGUGAAAUUCCCCGUGUAUCGGUCACAUGCGUAUAGAUGUGGAAGAACACCAGUGGCGAAUGCUGCUCUCUGCCCUGUAACUGACUCUGAGAGCGAAAUCAUGACGAGAGAACCGCAUUAGAUACCGUGGUACUCCACACCCCUCUACGAUGAUUGCUAAUGUGAUGGGAAUU